rnacentral:rRNA from 1 species
UACGUAGGGUGCAAGCGUUAAUCGGAAUUACUGGGCGUAAAGCGUGCGCAGGCGGUUGUGCAAGACAGAUGUGAAAUCCCCGGGCUUAACCUGGGAAUUGCAUUUGUGACUGCACGGCUAGAGUGUGUCAGAGGGGGGUAGAAUUCCACGUGUAGCAGUGAAAUGCGUAGAUAUGUGGAGGAAUACCGAUGGCGAAGGCAGCCCCCUGGGCUAACACUGACGCUCAGGCACGAAAGCGUGGGGAGCAAACAGG